UGCAUGAAUGAAUUUAUGUGGUGAAGAUAUGAUAAGAGAAGAAAGCGUAAAAGAAAACCAGAGACAACUGUGAGUUGUAAGGUUAAGAAAUUAAGCGUACACGGUGGAUGCCUAGGCAAUCAGAGGCGAUGAAGGACGUGUUAAUCUGCGAAAAGCGACGGUAAGCUGAUAAAGAGCGUAAUAGCCGUCGAUGUCCGAAUGGGGAAACCCAAUGCAGGUAACUGCAUUAUCAUAUGAUGAAUACAUAGUCAUAUGAGGCGAACCGGGAGAACUGAAACAUCUAAGUACCCCGAGGAAAAGAAAUCAACCGAGAUUCCCGAAGUAGCGGCGAGCGAACCGGGAGGAGCCCAAAGUGGGAAGCAUAUAGAGUUAGUGGAAUUAUCUGGAAAGUUAGACGAUAGAGGGUGAUAGUCCCGUACACGAAGACUAGAUAUGUGAAAGCUUGAAGAGUAGGGCGGGACACGUGAUAUCCUGUCUGAAGAUGGGGGGACCAUCCUCCAAGGCUAAAUACUCCUGAUUGACCGAUAGUGAACCAGUACCGUGAGGGAAAGGCGAAAAGAACCCCGGCGAGGGGAGUGAAAUAGAACCUGAAACCGUGUACGUACAAUCAGUGGGAGCUGUUACCAUUGGGUAAUAGUGACUGCGUACCUUUUGUAUAAUGGGUCAGCGACUUAUAUUCUGUAGCGAGGUUAACCGAAUAGGGGAGCCGAAGGGAAACCGAGUAUUAACUGUGCGUUAAGUUGCAGGGUAUAGACCCGAAACCCGGUGAUCUAGCCAUGGGCAGGUUGAAGGUUGGUUAACACUAACUGGAGGACCGAACCGACUAAUGUUGAAAAAUUAGCGGAUGACCUGUGGCUGGGGGUGAAAGGCCAAUCAAACCGGGAGAUAGCUGGUUCUCCCCGAAAGCUAUUUAGGUAGCGCCUCAUGUAUAACUGUUGGGGGUAGAGCACUGUUUCGGCUAGGGGGCCAUCCCGGCUUACCAACCCGAUGCAAACUCCGAAUACUGACAAGUUUGAGCAUGGGAGACACACGGCGGGUGCUAACGUUCGUCGUGAAGAGGGAAACAACCCAGACCGCCAGCUAAGGUCCCCAAGUCAUAGUUAAGUGGGAAACGAAGUGGGAAGGCUUAGACAGCUAGGAUGUUGGCUUAGAAGCAGCCACCAUUUAAAGAAAGCGUAAUAGCUCACUAGUCGAGUCGGCCUGCGCGGAAGAUGUAACGGGGCUAAAACUAUGCACCGAAGCUGCGGCAGUAUGCGAAAGCAUAUUGGGUAGGGGAGCGUUCUGUAAGCCUGUGAAGGUAUCCUGAGAGGGGUGCUGGAGGUAUCAGAAGUGCGAAUGCUGACAUAAGUAACGAUAAAGCGGGUGAAAAGCCCGCUCGCCGGAAGACCAAGGGUUCCUGUCCAACGUUAAUCGGGGCAGGGUGAGUCGACCCCUAAGGCGAGGCAGAGAUGCGUAGCUGAUGGGAAACGGGUUAAUAUUCCCGUACUAGAUAUAACUGCGAUGGGGUGACGGAGAAGGCUAGGUUUACCAUAUAUUGGAUAAUGGGUUAAGCGUGUAGGGGUGUGAUUAGGCAAAUCCGGUCACUGAAACCCUGAGGCGUGAUGACGAGUCACUAAGGUGGCGGAGUAAUUGAUGCCAUGCUUCCAGGAAAAACCUCUAAGCAUCAGGUUAUAUGUAAUCGUACCCGAAACCGACACAGGUGGUCAGGUAGAGAAUACUAAGGCGCUUGAGAGAACUCGGGUGAAGGAACUAGGCAAAAUGGUGCCGUAACUUCGGGAGAAGGCACGCUGAUGGUAAUUGAAAUCCCAUGCGGAUGUAGGUGAAAUCAGUCGAAGAUACCAGCUGGCUGCAACUGUUUAAUAAAAACACAGCACUGUGCAAACACGAAAGUGGACGUAUACGGUGUGACGCCUGCCCGGUGCUGGAAGGUUAAUUGAUGGGGUUAUGCGCAAGCAGAAGCUCUUGAUCGAAGCCCCAGUAAACGGCGGCCGUAACUAUAACGGUCCUAAGGUAGCGAAAUUCCUUGUCGGGUAAGUUCCGACCUGCACGAAUGGCGUAAUGAUGGCCAGGCUGUCUCCACCCGAGACUCAGUGAAAUUGAAAUUGCCGUGAAGAUGCGGUGUACCCGUGGCAAGACGGAAAGACCCCGUGAACCUUUACUAUAGCUUGACAGUGAACAUUGAGCCUUAAUGUGUAGGAUAGGUGGGAGACUGAGAAAUGUGUACGCCAGUAUGCAUGGAGUCGACCUUGAAAUACCACCCUUUAAUGUUUGAUGUUCUAACCUAUGCUUCUGAAUCGAGGCAAGGGACACUGUCUGGUGGGUAGUUUGACUGGGGCGGUCUCCUCCCAAAGAGUAACGGAGGAGCACGAAGGUUAGCUAAUCCUGGUCGGACAUCAGGAGGUUAGUGCAAUGGCAAAAGCUAGCUUGACUGCGAGAGUGACGGCUCGAGCAGGUACGAAAGUAGGUCAUAGUGAUCCGGUGGUUCUGAAUGGAAGGGCCAUCGCUCAACGGAUAAAAGGUACUCCGGGGAUAACAGGCUGAUACCGCCCAAGAGUUCAUAUCGACGGCGGUGUUUGGCACCUCGAUGUCGGCUCAUCACAUCCUGGGGCUGAAGUAGGUCCCAAGGGUACGGCUGUUCGCCGUUUAAAGUGGUACGCGAGCUGGGUUUAGAACGUCGUGAGACAGUUCGGUCCCUAUCUGCCAUGGGCGUAGGAAAAUUGAGAGGGUUUGCUUCUAGUACGAGAGGACCGAAGUGAACGCACCGCUGGUGUUCGGGUUGUGAUGCCGAUUGCAUUGCCCGGUAGCUACGUGCGGAAUAGAUAAGUGCUGAAAGCAUCUAAGCACGAAACUAGCCUUGAGAUGAGUUUUCCCUGAAGAGAUUCAGUAAGGUCCGUUCGAGACUAGGACGAUGAUAGGUCAGGUGUGUAAGUGUAGUGAUACAUUGAGCUAACUGAUACUAAUGAGCCGAGAGUCUUAACCUUA
rnacentral:rRNA from 1 species